AUUGGUUAGUCUCUAAGGUGCCACAAGUACUCCUUUUCUUUUUGCCAGUUAAUACUGAAGCACUUAUGGUUUUUAUUUUAUAAAUUAUGAAGAUUUGAAACUGUAAGGGGUAGAGAGGGAGUUGUGACCACCUGUGAAAUUUGACUAUGUACAACUUACGAAUUCUCAUUGAUGUUAUGAAGUCAUUGUGAAAUUAUUAUGUCACAGAAUGCCUCUACGUGGAUUCCACUAUUUGCUCAGAGGGGCAGUAGCACAUAUGUUCCAGACGAGGGACAAUGGAGAGUCAUUAACCUUAAUGACUGUGCUGUGACCAGACAAUGAGUAUGCUAAGGUGGUUAGCUGGAGCUGAGAGAAGCUAGUUCCUUCAACUUGUCUUCAGAGAGGGAGAAUUGGAGAGUGGAACAGUCCCAAACAGGACAGAGGUGGGAAAUCAGGGGUUUAAAAAGGACUCAGAAGGAACAAUGGGGAAGGCUUUUGGAGGGACAGGAAGUUUUGGACAGGAACAAGGAAGAGGCAGGCAUACUCUUGUAGCAAGGGGGUCCAGUUUAACUGUAUGACUAACCAAGAUCAGAGAAAACUAGCAGACCUAGAAAAGGCUCUAUCAUUCUGAGGAGAAGCUGUAAGCUGCAGGGGAAGGAUGCAGGACACACCAGUAGGCUCUGCCCAAGCCCAGAGAACCUCCAGAUUGGUGAGGAACCUAAGGCAGGAAAACACAUAUGGGUGUGUUUAUUUUUUUAUAGAUAUGUGUAUCUCUUACAUUAACUAAGUAAAGGGUAAUGAUCAUAGAAUAUCAGGGUUGGAAGGGACCUCAGGAGGUCAUCUAGUCCA